rnacentral:rRNA from 1 species
AAACUUUCAACAACGGAUCUCUUGGUUCCGGCAUCGAUGAAGAACGCAGCGAAGUGCGAUACGUAAUGUGAAUUGCAAAUUCAGUGAAUCAUCGAGUCUUUGAACGCACAUUGCGCCCCCUGGUAUUCCGGGGGGCAUGCCUGUCCGAGCGUCAUU